rnacentral:rRNA from 1 species
ACUCCUACGGGAGGCAGCAGUGGGGAAUAUUGGACAAUGGGGGAAACCCUGAUCCAGCCAUGCCGCGUGUGUGAAGAAGGCCUUCGGGUUGUAAAGCACUUUCAGUGGGGAGGAAAGGUUGAUGGUUAAUACCUAUCAGCUGUGACGUUACCCACAGAAGAAGCACCGGCUAACUCCGUGCCAGCAGCCGCGGUAAUACGGAGGGUGCAAGCGUUAAUCGGAAUUACUGGGCGUAAAGCGUGCGUAGGCGGCCAUUUAAGUCAAAUGUGAAAUCCCCGAGCUUAACUUGGGAAUUGCAUUCGAUACUGGAUGGCUAGAGUAUGGGAGAGGAUGGUAGAAUUCCAGGUGUAGCGGUGAAAUGCGUAGAGAUCUGGAGGAAUACCGAUGGCGAAGGCAGCCAUCUGGCCUAAUACUGACGCUGAGGUACGAAAGCAUGGGGAGCAAACAGGAUUAGAUACCCUGGUAGCGAGUA